rnacentral:rRNA from 1 species
GGGUAACCGGUUAGGGAUGAGUCUGCGUCUGUAUUAGGUAGUUGGUGAGGUAACGGCUCACCAAGCCUACGAUCAGUAACUGGUCUGAGAGGACGAACAGUCACACUGGAACUGAGACACGGUCCAGACUCCUACGGGAGGCAGCAGUGAGGAAUAUUGCACAAUGGGAGAAAUCCUGAUGCAGCGACGCCGCGUGUGGGAAGAAGGAGCUUAGCUUCGUAAACCACUGUCGGAGGGGACGAAUGGUAGGUUAGACCUACUGAGACGGUACCCUCAAAGGAAGGAUCGGCUAACUACGUG